GACGAACGCUGGCGGCGUGCUUAACACAUGCAAGUCGAACGGAAAGGCCCUGCUUUUGUGGGGUGCUCGAGUGGCGAACGGGUGAGUAACACGUGAGUAACCUGCCCUUGACUUUGUGAUAACUUCAGGAAACUGGGGCUAAUACCGGAUAGGAUCUCCUGCUGCAUGGUGUGGGUUGGAAAGUUUCGGCGGUUGUGGAUGGACUCGCGGCUUAUCAGCUUGUUUGUGUGGUAGUGGCUUACCAAGGCUUUGACGGGUAGCCGGCAUGAGAGGGUUACCGGCGACAAGGGGACUGAGAGAGGGACCAGAAUGCAACGGGAGGCAGCAGUGGGGAAUAUUGCACAAUGGGGGGAAGCCUGAUGCAGAAACGCGGCGUGCGGGAUGACGGCCUACGGGUUGAAAACAGAUUUCGCAUGUGACGAAGCGUGAGUGACGGUAAUGGGUAAAGAAGCACCGGCUAACUACGUG
rnacentral:rRNA from 1 species